GGAUUCCCCCCAGAGCCUGUUUCAUCUGCGGGGGGGCGGGGGGCAGGAAGAAAUCACCUCGCAAUGGAGGAACGAGGUGGCUAGGGCAGAGGGUCUGUCCCAGUUUUGAAGUCCAAGAAGCUGCUGCCCCACGGCUUUCUGUUUAUUCACCUGCUCGCCCUCACCCAUGUGGAGAAAAAAGCCAGAGAGGAGGUUAAUGGGGGUCACUCCUCGCAUGUCCCCCCUCCCCCCUGCUCAGAUAGCUUUAGCCACAGCUCCAGAGCAGCUCACUGGAUGAGUUUGCCAAGAACUGUCUCCCCCCCACCACCCCUCUAAGCCUGUCUCCUGGAGGGAGGGGCUAUUCGGUUGGGUUGCAGGGGUGGGGGGGUUGGUAGAGCUCCUUCCCUCUGGUGUUAGGGUUGCCAGAGGUCUGGUUUUGAACUGGACAGUCCAGUAUUUGAGCUUUCUGUUCGGGAAACAAAUGGAGAAAAUAGAAAUGAGAAAAUAGAACUGUCCGGUAUUUUCUAACUAAGAUGUCAUGUCGAUUAUGAUGUCAUGUUAAGUAUGUCCAGUGUUUUUGUGGAAACCAUCUGGCUACCCUAUCUGGUGUGGAGAUAUCUUUCUCUUGCUUGUUAGCCCAUCCCUGAGAAGAAUUCCCGGCCUGUCUCCUCAGCAGAUCUCAAAGUGCUUCCCAAUGUAGGGUGGGGAAACUGAGGCAGCGCACAAGGAAGUGACUCGCCCAGAAUCUCCCCAAGAGAGGCAGGAAGAGAACCCAGGUGGCAGUGUGCCCAGGCAUUGCUCUACUCGCUGCCCGGGCCCCGAGGCCUGUCAGAAGGGCAUUGUGGGGAGCAAGGGAUGGGUGGUUUUGCUUGUCAGACAAGCCCCAGGGGAGGAGCUAGUGGGUCACAGGAGUCUCUCCGCAUGUGGCCCUUUGCUGGGCCUGAGGCUGAAGGGCCGGGGAAGUGGAUGGAUGGGCCAAGUCGGUCGGGGGCCUGCAGAGGAGUGGGAGGUGGAACAGCUACAAGAGGUGGCAGGUGCUAGGAAUUGCAUGGGCCUCCUGACCCCACCCACCUGCCUCUGAGGACCACGCGGGCAUGAGGUCUGGGGCAGGCAUCUGGGGGCCACACCACUCCUCCUGCAUAAGGGCUCUGGGGAGGGGGGGGCUCUGGGCAUGAGGGAGCAGCCCCGGGCCUGCCCCAGCCCUUGGGGGAAUGGUGAAGAAGCACGACCUGUGAUGGACCCGCUGAGACUGGAGAAGGCGUCUCAGGAAGGGGCAGCUCCCUUUGCAUAGCGCCCGGGGAAAAGCAGAGCCCAUCCACAGAGCUGCUGGGCUGCGGCCGUCACAGUUUGGCCAGAAAGACCCCACCGCCCCCAGGAGACGGGUGAGUCCAGCUGGAUGUCGGGCGGCAGAAGAAAAGUCACGUUCCCCAGGAAGAGCUCUCCAGGCCAAAAACUGUGCUGGGCUUCCCCAGGAGACGCCUCCCAGCUUGCGGCGGCUUGUCUGGGUCUCUGAGCCCCAUGGGGGCUGCCCUGUCAGAACUCUGAACAGUGGGGUCACCGCUCGGACCAUCUCGGGGAGGGAGGGGGGCCUCUGUCAGGCCGGGGCUGCUGUUGUGUAUGAUGAAUAAAUGGGCCUUGGCUAAA